rnacentral:lncRNA from 1 species
ACAGGCAAAGGAAGACCUUGUCGGUUAAAAGUAUCGUCAAUCGCGUGACCGACAGGCACAGCGAUAGGAUGUAAGAAGGCCAGCCUUUGUACAGAAGCUCCCUCAUCCUCGGUCAGAACAGGACGGGGAGUAGUCUUACGACCACUAGUGGAUGCAGGGAGAAGUCUGCUACCAGGACAUAGCCUGCAAUCCACAAAAAUAAACUCACUCUUGUUCCGCCUGGUCGGAGGAUCUUUCAAGAGAGCUGAGUGAGUGACAGAGGAGGCACGACUGGCACAUGCAAUGAAAGGGCUGCCCUUCUUCGGAUU